GACGAACGCUGGCGGCGUGCUUAACACAUGCAAGUCGCACGGAGUGGCGAACGGGUGAGUAACACGUGGGUGAUCUGCCUUGCACUUCGGGAUAAGCUUGGGAAACUUGGUCUAAUACCGGAUAGUGCAAGAUGAGCUCGCGGCCUAUCAGCUUGUUGGUGGGGUAAUGGCCUACCAAGGCGUCGACGGGUGGCCGGCCUGAGAGGGUGUACGGCCACAUGGUGACGGCGGUACGGCCCAGCCUCCUACGGGAGGCAGCAGGAGGGAAUAUUGCACAAUGGGCGGAAGCCUGAUGCAGCGACGCCGCGUGGGGGAUGAAGGCCUUCGGGUUGUAAACUCCGUUCGACAGGGACGCGGUACCUGUAUAAGAAGCAACGGCUAACUACGUGCCAGCCGCCGCGGUAAUAC
rnacentral:rRNA from 1 species